AUGACAUCGUCCCUCUGAUUGAUCUCCUUAGAACUGGACUCACCGUUUAUUACGUAACUUCCACACCAGGUCAUCUUCACGGAAAAGACGAUCUCAUCAUCCAAAUGUGUCUCUUACAUAUUAUUAUACUAACAUAAUUUCGUUUCCUCUUGUAUUUUUAUUAAUUUACUAAAUUAAUCUAAUUAAUUAAAGGAGACUCUAAACAAAACAUU
rnacentral:lncRNA from 1 species